AACGAACGCUGGCGGCAUGCCUAACACAUGCAAGUCGAACGAAGGCUUCGGCCUUAGUGGCGCACGGGUGCGUAACGCGUGGGAAUCUGCCCUUUGGUUCGGAAUAACAGCUGGAAACGGCUGCUAAUACCGGAUGAUGACGAAAGUCCAAAGAUUUAUCGCCAGAGGAUGAGCCCGCGUUGGAUUAGGUAGUUGGUGGGGUAAAGGCCUACCAAGCCGACGAUCCAUAGUUGGUCUGAGAGGAUGAUCAGCCACACUGGGACUGAGACACGGCCCAGACUCCUACGGGAGGCAGCAGUGGGGAAUAUUGGACAAUGGGCGCAAGCCUGAUCCAGCAAUGCCGCGUGAGUGAUGAAGGCCCUAGGGUUGUAAAGCUCUUUUACCCGGGAAGAUAAUGACUGUACCGGGAGAAUAAGCCCCGGCUAACUCCGUG
rnacentral:rRNA from 1 species